GACGUAGGGACCAAGCGUUGUUCGGAUUUACUGGGCGUAAAGGGCGCGUAGGCGGCUUAACAAGUCACUUGUGAAAUCUCCGGGCUUAACUCGGAACGGCCAAGUGAAACUGUCAAGCUAGAGUGCGGAAGGGGCAAUCGGAAUUCUUGGUGUAGCGGUGAAAUGCGUAGAUAUCAAGAGGAACACCUGAGGUGAAGACGGGUUGCUGGGCCGACACUGACGCUGAUGCGCGAAAGCCAGGGGAGCAAACGGG
rnacentral:rRNA from 1 species